ACUCAAUUUAGAAAAUGCUUACUGAUGCUCCUGAAAAGAAGAUACAAACUUUCUCAAUAAGAAAACUGUUGCAGGAACUAAAAAAGGAAAAGAAAUAAAAGCACUUAGUACUUAGUAGGCUCUGAGCUUUCUUCUUUCCUCUGCAUUUUACUUCUCUCAAUCCUGUGUAAUCGUCUCCCAUCUUCCAUCUCUUCCUGGUCCAUCGCAAAACCUUAAUGAGUUAAUGACCUUGCUAUCACCAGCUGCUUUCUGGGACCCAUAGUCACCACCCUGCAUUUCAUGGUUCACAAUAGAAGAGCUUUUGCAGAUGUUCAGCCAUAUGAAAUGAUUUUUUUUCCUUUUCAUGUGGGGUUAUUUAAGGAUUCUUCAUGAGGCUAACCUCUUGUUUCUGACUCUUUGACUGGUUUAAAAAUAACCCCCUUUUUGGGUUUUGGUACUUGAGGGGGCUUGUAGCUGAUCUACUGUUAUCAUUUUUCUUUUGGCCAUAAAUUAUGUGGUCCCUCUCCUUGGGCUUCUUUCUCUAUUAUGGGAUGCAUCUUGCUUUUCCUUCACCUGUCUGCACUGCUGAAACUCAAAGGAAUGAUACUAAUGGGCUUGAACAUU
rnacentral:lncRNA from 1 species